rnacentral:tRNA from 1 species
GCCAGCAUGGUUUAGUGGCUUGAGUAUUGGACUAUGACUCUGGAGGCCAGGGUUUGAUUCCCUGCUUGGCC